rfam:Hepatitis C virus isolate PTR9415 polyprotein gene, complete cds
CCAUUGCCUGCGGCGCGCCUUCUGGAUUUAUCCAGUUGGUUCACCGUUAGUGCAGGCGGGGGCGACAUUUAUCACAGCGUGUCGCAUGCCCAACCCCGCUUCUUACUCCUUAGCCUACUCCUACUCUGUGUGGGGGUAGGCAUCUUUUUACUCCCCGCUCGGUAGAGCGGCAAACUUA